rnacentral:rRNA from 1 species
UACGUAGGGGGCAAGCGUUGUCCGGAUUUACUGGGCGUAAAGAGCGUGUAGGCGGCCAUACAGGUCAGCUGUGAAAACUCGAGGCUCAACCUCGAGACGUCGGUUGAAACCGUAUGGCUAGAGUCCGGAAGAGGAGAGUGGAAUUCCCGGUGUAGCGGUGAAAUGCGCAGAUAUCGGGAAGAACACCCGUGGCGAAGGCGGCUCUCUGGGACGGUACUGACGCUGAGACGCGAAAGCUAGGGGAGCAAACGGG